rnacentral:tRNA from 2 species
UAGGAAGUGGUGUAGUGGAGGCACCAAGAGUUUUGAUCUCUUUAGUGGGGUUCGAAUCCCUUCUUUCUAA